rfam:Streptomyces sp. AVP053T2 APS67_contig000085, whole genome shotgun sequence.
CUUGAUGGAGCCGAGCAGCAGCGGCCGCUCCGGGUCGCGGCCCUGGCCGUAGGUGGCGAGCAGGGCCUGCGCCUC